rnacentral:tRNA from 1 species
GGCUUUGUGGUUGAAGUGACAACGUUAAAUUGCAAAUUUGAAAGUGUGCGUUAAAAUCGCUCCAGAGCUU